AUUGUCAAGACACACACACAAACAACAACAACAACAAAAAAAAAAGAAUAUGAAGGCACCUUCGCAACAAGAGAUGACUUACUACGGCGAUGUCAAGAAACGUCAAGACGAACAAGGCUGCUUCUACGCAACGUUUUACGGGUUGUUCUGUUGCUGUUGCUGCCGCGGGACACGCAAGUGUUGUUGCUGUGUUUGAUUUCUAUGUAUCAUCUCGAUUAUUAAUUAUUCUCUUUAUGUGUCCCUCCCAUUUGCUCUUUAAUAUCUACUUAGUCUUGCAAAUAAAAUGUAAAGAACUCGUAAGUCUCGUGAUAAGAUUGAAUAUAUUGAUGAACUAUACA